rnacentral:lncRNA from 1 species
AAGGCAAAACUCAAAUAAAAUGGUUUGUCUUUCUUUUCUUCAAAGGGUAGAAAUCAAGGGAAGAUGUUGACUCUUCAGUUACCCUGGAGUCAGAAGGAACUUUGUGAACAGAAGAUUUCUCUUCUGAAGGAAAUCAAUGGACUGACUGCUCAGAAAGAAACUGUUUGAAAAUGGCUGUCAUAAUAAAUAGCCAAGUGAUUUCCUGUCUGAAAAUAUGUGUUUCUGCAGGAGGAAAAAAAAGACACCUGCCUAAGGAGAAAAAAUGAUGCAAAUUGAUCCAGAGCUCAAGGGAUGAACUGGAGAGCAAUGGGCACAGAAAUGUUUAAGUCACUAACAACAAAACCCAGUGCCUUCACAUUCAUAGUUCUAGGGCCAAGCUGUCAGAAUGAGAUCCCUGGAGGUGGUCUAGAGGGCUGGCAAAGGGAUAUUUGGCUGGGAGCCUGUCACCAGCUUUGCAAACAACUAGAAACUAAAGGGAUGCCUAUCAAUUGGGAAAUGGCCAAAUAAGUUGUGGUAUGUGUUUAGAAUGGUAUACUAAUUUGCCAUAAGAAAUAACAAACAAG